GGCUGGAAUUAGCUUCCUCGACUGGGACCGAGUGGCUGGGGUGGGGGUCAGAGGCACCUUCCUACGAAGUCCAGCUUUCAGCUCCUUGGAGCGAUCUCCAAGUUCCCCCGAGUCGGGACUUCCUUUCCUCGGCCUCUCGGCACCCUCCUCCUCCUUCUCCGAUCGUUUUUUUUUUUUUUUUUCCUUCCCCCACUGUCUUCUCUACGAUUUAAUUAAAGUUCAGCGACUCCACUUGCCUCUCCUCUCAUUUCUUUCGGAAAGCGGAAACCAGGCGACCCAGCAGCCACCAGCCCAGCCGCCCCAGCUCAACCCCAGCAGGACGCUGGAAGGGCCUCCUUCGCCCGCCUCCCUCCGCCGGCGCUGGCCUCCUGGACCCGGGUCUGCAAUCCCUCCGCCAUCCCGCAGGUGUGCAGCCGCUUGGCCUGGGGGAUCCGAAUGACUGGGGCUGAAUAGGAAUGUCUUCGUGUUUCCCCAGACCCCCGGGGCCUGCUCCAGCAAAGUUUGGAGGGUGGGUACACCCCGACUCAGGCAAGUUGCUCCCCAAAAACCCAUGACUGACUAAUCUGAUGUGACAAAAGCCCGUGAUGGAUUUGGUAUAUGUUAAUUCACAAUGCCCUUUCCUCCAGAAUUUAACUAUAAGUUAAUACACACCGGAAACCACGCGCAUACACGCUCCUUAAUGGGCUUAGGUAUUAGCGAGUCCUAACGAUGCAUACAAAUGUGCUCUGCGCUCUGUAGGCCCCUCAAGAUUUAUGGGCCUUGAGCUCUCUGAAGCUGUAAACAAGGAGGGGGAAAAAAAAAAGAGAGAAAGCGAAAGAGACUGGGGGGAAGAGACAGAGGCCUGACUCCCAGGUUGUGGGAGAGAAGGGAUUCUUUACGUAUUUUCCUUCUCUUGCAAGCUCGGUGCGUGUGGGUUUUGGCGUCUGGGGUUGGUGUUCUGCCUGAAUGCUGGCGUGCGUGGGCAGUGUGUUCUUUGCGCGCUAGGGUAGGAUGCCUGCCUCUUUGGAUUGCUGUGCAGGGGCCUGAACAUAGCAGGCAUUUGUGAGCAUAUAUGCGUGAGUGUGUGCACGGUGUUAGGGUGUGUAUGUGUGUGUGUGUGUGUGUGUGAGAGAGAGAGAGAGAGAGAGAGAGAGAGAGAGAGAGGCAGGCUUCCCUCUGGGCCAGGCUGCUGUCCCCUGAACUUGGUGAACAAAUCUCUAACAACAAUCGUAAUAACAAUAAAUAACGAAUAAUAAUGAUAAAACAGUAGUUAACAGUCCCUGCAUAACAGGAUAACAAUAAAAUGCAAGAGGAAAUAUUUUGAGGAGGGGAGAGAGGAAGAAGUCAGGAUCACAGCAUCUGAGGGGGAGAUAAGAAAGGACGGGAGGAAGAAAGCUUCUUAAUAUGUUCUUGGGGAGCUGAGGCUGGGAACACCUUACCGGGACAAGGGACAAAAGAGGAGAAGGAGAGCCAGGAGGCCACUCUUUAUUGCUUUUUUUUUUUUUUUUUUUUUCUCGGCAUUUUGCUUUGUGUGAUCAGGGAAGGGAUCCCACAUAUGGGGGUGGUUAAUGGCUUUUGGGACUCCCUGGGAGCCCCUGUUUUAAGGAGGAGGCCAAAUGUGCAGGGUCAGGCCAAGGGGCAGAGAUGAAUGAGGCGAUGACCACAGACUUGAUCCGGCAAGAGCACAGAAAUGCCCGAGAGGACCUGCCUCGAGGGCCGGAGGGAAGCAGAAAAACAUUUAUGGCCGCCGGGGAGUGGGGAGAGCCAGACUGGGGCUCCAGCAGGCCCAGGGCAAGUUCCCUUUCUAGGGUCUUUAUUAAAAAAUUUAAAAGGAGUAGUUAAGGAGCCUUGAAUUUUCCUUCGCGAGCUUGGAGCCUAGCCGAUUUUUCAUGAAGGAAGAAAAGACCACGGUCCCGGAUCCUGCAACAUCCACCUCAUUCUCUCCAGGCCUCUCCGCUGGCCGGAGCUCUCAGCCACCAGGAGACUGACGGAAGGGGCUUCUGAGCUGCAUUGGGAGCGGGCACUGUCCCCCACCCACUCCUGCUCGGUUUCCCCAAGUCCAGCGACCUCCGACCCUCCUUGGAGGGAAAAUACCAGUACCCGGACACCUCUGCACCCUGUUAGAUGACUGGGCUUGCUUCAGAAAUGUCUUACAAAGAAGAAGAAGAAAGAACGGCUUGGAGUCGUGUUUACAUCUAGUUCUACUGAUCCAUUCACAUCUGGAGAGUUUAUUUAUAACUCCCUCUAUAACUCUCUGUUUGGAGGCACUGGUGGCUCUAUUGACAGACUGAUGUCUAGAAAAUAUUGCUGUAUCUCUAACCAUACCUAAAUGUGCUGUGGUUGUAUUUACAGAUUUAUGUUUGAGGAAAAUAUAAUUAUUUCCAUUGUAUUUGUGCAUAUACAGUAGUUAUAGGAGCAGAUUUAUAUAUGGGAAAAUAUACGACUCUCUUACAGCCAUCGUGCUUUAUGUACGCUUGAUCUCCUGACAGAUUUAUAUCUCUGAACAGCUAUAUAGAUAAAAAUGUAUAUUGUUAGAAUUA